rnacentral:rRNA from 1 species
CAAUAGAGUGGGAAGAGCUUCGAGUAGAGGUGAUAAACCUAUCGAGCACAGUAAUAGCUGGUUGCCUGAGAAAUGGAUAGAAGUUCAGCCCUUUAGAUUUUCUCUCCCCAAGCCAACACUUGUAAGACUAAAGAAAACAUAAGGAGUUAGUCAGAAGGGGUACAGCUCUUCUGAUAAAAGAAACAACUUUAGUAGGUGAAACAGGAUCAUAUUAACCAAGGACUAAGAUUUAAGUGGGCCUAAAAGCAGCCAUCUUUAAAGAAAGCGUUAAAGCUCCAACUAACCUCUCCCCCUUAUAUACUGAUAUUGAAUCUCCCCUCCCCUACCACCUACCGGGCUAUCUUAUGCUUCCAUAAGAAUAAUUAUGCUAAAAUGAGUAAUAAGAAGAAACCAUUUCUUCUCCUAGCAUACGUGUAAGUCGAACCGGACCCCCCACCGAUUAUUAUCCGAUCCCAACCCCAGAGGGCCCUAAGUUGAAAAAACAAGAAAAUCACUUAAUUAAAAUCGUUAAUCUCACACAAGAAUGCAUCAAGGAAAGACUAAAAGGGGGGGAAGGAACUCGGCAAACCCAAGCCUCGCCUGUUUACCAAAAACAUCGCCUCUUGAUUUAUAAACAUAAGAGGUCUCGCCUGCCCAGUGACUAAAUGUUAAACGGCCGUGGUAUCUUAACCAUGCGAAGGUAGCGUAAUCACUUGUCUUUUAAAUGAAGACCUGUAUGAAUGGCAAAACGAGGGCUUAACUGUCUCCCUCCCCCAGUCAAUGAAAUUGACCUCCCCGUGCAGAGGCGGGGAUAAAUAUAUAAGACGAGAAGACCCUGUGGAGCUUUAGACUUAAAAUAACCACGUUGAAUAAACUCCAAUACGAGAAAAAACUUAGUGAGUUUUAUUUAAAUGUCUUUGGUUGGGGUGACCGCGGGGCAAAACAUAGCCCCCAUGAAGAUUGGGGAGAUAUCCCUAACACCAAGAGUUACCUCUCUAAGCAGCAAAAUUUUUGACUUUAAAAAUGAUCCGGCUUGACCGAUUAACGAACUCAGUUACCCCAGGGAUAACAGCGCAAUCCCCUCCCAGAGCCCUUAUCGACGAGGGGGUUU